UAUUUGAGGGUACUGCCACAAUACUAAGGAUC
rnacentral:piRNA from 1 species